rnacentral:rRNA from 1 species
GAUGAACGCUGGCGGCGUGCCUAAUACAUGCAAGUCGAGCGAACGGACGAGAAGCUUGCUUCUCUGAUGUUAGCGGCGGACGGGUGAGUAACACGUGGAUAACCUACCUAUAAGACUGGGAUAACUUCGGGAAACCGGAGCUAAUACCGGAUAAUAUUUUGAACCGCAUGGUUCAAAAGUGAAAGACGGUCUUUCUGUCACUUAUAGAUGGAUCCGCGCUGCAUUAGCUAGUUGGUAAGGUAACGGCUUACCAAGGCAACGAUGCAUAGCCGACCUGAGAGGGUGAUCGGCCACCCUGGAACUGAGACACGGUCCAGACUCCUACGGGAGGCAGCAGUAGGGAAUCUUCCGCAAUGGGCGAAAGCCUGACGGAGCAACGCCGCGUGAGUGAUGAAGGUCUUCGGAUCGUAAAACUCUGUUAUUAGGGAAGAACAUAUGUGUAAGUAACUGUGCACAUCUUGACGGUACCUAAUCAGAAAGCCACGGCUAACUACGUG